CCUACGGGAGGCAGCAGUGAGGAAUAUUGGUCAAUGGACGAGAGUCUGAACCAGCCAAGUAGCGUGAAGGAUGACUGCCCUAUGGGUUGUAAACUUCUUUUAUAUGGGAAUAAAAUGUUCCACGUGUGGGAUUUUGUAUGUACCAUAUGAAUAAGGAUCGGCUAACUCCGUGCCAGGCGCCGCGGUAAUUAGGAGGGUCCGAGCGUUAUCCGGGUUUAUUUGGGUUAAAGGGAGCGUAGGUGGAUUGUUAAGUCAGUUGUGAAAGUUUGCGGCGCAACCGUAAAAGUGCAGUUGAAACUGGAAGUCUUGAGUACAGUAGAGGUGGGCGGAAUGCGUGGUGUAGCGGUGAAAUGCUUAGAUAUCACGAAGAACUCCGAUUGCGAAGGCAGCUUACUGGACUGCAACUGACACUGAGGCUCGAAAGUGUGGGUAUCAAACAGGAUUAGAUACCCCUGUAGUC
rnacentral:rRNA from 1 species